GAAAUGCGAUAAGUAAUGUGAAUUGCAGAAUUCAGUGAAUCAUCGAAUCUUUGAACGCACCUUGCGCUCCUUGGUAUUCCUUGGAGCAUGCCUGUUUGAGUAUCAUGAAAUCUUCAAAGUAAAUCUUUUGUUAACUCAAUUGGUUUCUACUUUGGUAUUGGAGGUCUUUGCAGCUUCACACCUGCUCCUCUUUGUUCAUUAGCUGGAUCUCAGUGUAUGCUUGGUUCCACUCGGCGUGAUAAGUUAUCUAUCGCUGAGGACACUGUAAAAGGUGGCCAAGGUAAAUGCAGAUGAACCGCUUCUAAUAGUCCAUUGACUUGGAUAAUACUUUUAUGAUCUGAUCUCAAAUCAGGUAGGACUACCCGCUGAACUUAAGC
rnacentral:misc_RNA from 1 species